GAAAAAUGUAUGUGGGGGUGGAUAGUAAUGAUCGAACCUUUUUUCUCGAUUACACUUAACCAGUACAUUCGUUUUGCCACCAUCUUCACAAAAGACAUGACGAAAUAGUGUGUUGAUUGAAGAGAUGGAAUAGAAAAUCGAGAG
ensembl:ncRNA B0495.20 ncRNA